GACGAACGCUGGCGGCAGGCCUAACACAUGCAAGUCGAGCGAGCGGCGGACGGGUGAGUAAUGUAUGGGGACUGCCCGCUAGCGGGGGAUGACUACUGGAAACGGUGGAUAAUACCGCAUACUAUCGGAUAACCCAUAUGGGAUUAGCUAGUGGGUGGGGUAAAUGCUCACGCAGGCGACGAUCUCUAGCUGGUCUGAGAGGAUGAUCAGCAACACUGGGACUGAGACACGGCCCAGACUCCUACGGAGGCAGCAGUGGGGAAUAUUGCACAAUGGGCGCAAUCCGGAUGCAGCCAUGCCGCGUGUAUGAAGAAGGCCUUAGGGUUGUAAAGUACUUUCAGCGGGGAGGCGUUACCCGCAGAAGAAGCACCGGCUAACUCCGUGCCAGCAGCCGCGGUAAUAC
rnacentral:rRNA from 1 species